rnacentral:rRNA from 1 species
UACGUAGGGUGCGAGCGUUAAUCGGAAUUACUGGGCGUAAAGCGUGCGCAGGCGGUCUGUUAAGACCGAUGUGAAAUCCCCGGGCUUAAACCUGGGAACUGCAUUGGUGACUGGCAGGCUUUGAGUGUGGCAGAGGGAGGUAGAAUUCCACGUGUAGCAGUGAAAUGCGUAGAGAUGUGGAGGAAUACCGAUGGCGAAGGC